CCCGUGCUUUCCGUGGGAGCGCUGGGCUCCACCCCUGCAGGUGCGCAGGGAAACAGGAGCUAGAGUUGGGGUUCGGUAACAUUCCCCUGCAAGUGCGGAGGGAAACAGGAGCUAGAGUUGGGGUUCGGUAACAUGCCCCAAUGUCGGCGGUGACGCUGAACACGCUCAAGGCUGGUGUAUCCAAGUGCCUACUACACGUGGAUCUGAAUGGACCCAAAUCUUUUAAGGCACAUGUCUAAAACUGAACUCUGGUAGCACUAAAGAUGGUUUGGAGUUGGGAGAGACCUGAUGAUGUCAUUCUAAUAACAUAAAAGGAGAACAUAGAUUUUUUAAAAAUAGUGGCACCACCAAGUGCUGGUGAGGAUGCAGAGAAACUGGAUCGUGCAUAUAUUUUUGGCAGGUGUGUAAAAUAGUACAGCCUCUCUAGGAAACUGCAAGCAAGCAAACUGUGGGACAUCUAUGCCGUGGAUUACUACUGAGGUAUCAAAGGAAUGACACAUGCAACAACCUGGGUAAGUCCUCAGAGAAUUAUGUUAAGUGAAAAAAGCCAGUCCCAAAAGAUCACAUGCUGAUUUUAUUCAUGUAACUUUUCAUAUGUAACAUUCUUAAAAUAAAUUAUAUAUAACUGAUCUGUGGUGAUGAGGGGUUAAAGUGGAGGUGGAACAAGAGGGAAAUGGGUGUGACUAUAAAAGACCAACAGGAGGGAUCCUUGUGAUGGGAAUGUUCUGUAUCUUGAAAGUAUCAGUCUCAAACCCCUGGAUGUAAUAUUGUACUGCAGUUUUGCAAGAUGUUACUGCUGAAGCAAAUCAAAUAAAGGGUACACAGGAUC